ensembl:lncRNA
CAUCUUCAGUGGGAGAUUGUCUAAGAAUAAACAUGCACACCUACUCUCUGAGUGACACGCUGUGAUCUCUGAUCUCUCUAAUGGAUUUUGUACUUUGGACACCAAGAAUCCUUCACAUAUUCACAGACAACUGAGAAGAACGCAGCAGUGCGUGCGGACUGUAAACUCAUCAUGUUUCAUCUACAGAAUAUUGUUGCCUUCAUAAUACUCUUUGCCUCCAUUUGUCAGGCUCAAGCUGGUGGUCAACGGGCAUCAUCAGAUACAGCUAAAGUCACAUUACAGCCGUGGCUGGUGGGACUGACAGCCGUUGUUGUUUUUCUCUUCAUUGUCUUCGUCCUCCUCAUCACGCAAAGACUCUUUUUCAAGAAAGACAAAGAUGAGCUAGAAGAAAAGGAUGAAGUGGCUGCAUUUUAUGACAACAAAGCGGCUGAUUUGGAGGCAAAUGAGGAGACCAAGCAGACCAGUUUCUAAUGAUAGGAACAGAUGAUCACAGUCCUGCAGCACACACAAGCCUUUCUCUCUGGAAAUUAUGCCACAACCUAGCACAGAGUCAUUCUAUAUAAUUAUAUAUUAACUUAUGUAAUAUAUCAAUAUAUCAUUUUAACUUACUAAUUUUGGUCUAAGUUUUGUUUUUAGUCUUCACAAGUGUUGUUCCUCACAUCAUCCACCAGACGGAGCAGCCUUCACAUAGCUUUAACCUAAAGUUAAAAUAAAAUACAUUUUAAAA